rnacentral:rRNA from 1 species
UACAGAGGUCUCAAGCGUUGUUCGGAUUCAUUGGGCGUAAAGGGUGCGUAGGCGGCCACCGCAAGUCGAUUGUGAAAUCUCCGGGCUUAACCCGGAAAGGUCAACCGAUACUGCGGGGCUAGAGUGCAGAAGGGGCAACUGGAAUUCUCGGUGUAGCGGUGAAAUGCGUAGAUAUCGAGAGGAACACCUGCGGCGAAGGCGGGUUGCUGGGCUGACACUGACGCUGAAGUGCGAAAGCUAGGGGAGCGAACGGG